rnacentral:lncRNA from 1 species
UCUUGGGUUGGGUUGGAGUCUCCAUUUUGGGGUUUUGGGUUGGGUUGGGGGUCUUCACUUGGGGUCAUGGAGUUGGGGUCCCCAUUUUGGGGUCUUGGGUUGGGUUGGGGGUCUCCAUUUGGGCUCAUAGGAUGGGUUGGGGGUCCCCAUUUGGGGUGAUGGAUUUGGGUUCCCCAUUUUGGGGUCUUGGGUUGGAUUGGGGUCUCUAUUUGGGGUCAUGGAGUUGGGUCCCCAUUUUGGGGUCUUGGGUUGGGGUCUCCAUUUGGGGUCAUGGAGUUGGGGUCCCCAUUUUGGGGUCUUGGGUUGGAUUGGGCAUCUCUAUUUGGGGUCAAGGAGGUGGGGUCCUAUUUUGNNNNNNNNNNNNNNNNNUGGGGCCUUGGGUUGGGUUGGGGUCUCUAUUUGGGGUCUUGGGAUGGGUGGGGGUCUCCGUUUGGGGUCAUGGAGUUGGGUCCCCAUUUUGGGGUCUUGGGAUGGAUUGGGGGUCUCUAUUUGGGGUCAAGGAGUUGGGGUCUCCAUUUGGGGUCUUGGGUUGGGUUGGGGGUCUCCAUUUGGGGUCAAGGAGUUGGGGUCCCCAUUUUGGGGUCUUGGGUUGGAUUGGGCAUCUCUAUUUGGGGUGAUGGAGUUGGGGUCUCCAUUUGGGGUCUUGGGUUGGGUC